rnacentral:misc_RNA from 1 species
GUUUCAUUUGCUUAACACUCUGCAGAUAAAACGUUCUUUUAGUAUCUAUACAUAUAAUUUGAAAUGAAAAUGAAUGCAGCAGAAUAUGGAUUUUGUAUUUUCGUUGUGGGAGAGAGUUGUGGAGCAUCGACUACGUCAUGAUACUUCUAUCUCUCUCAAUCAAUUUGGUUUCAUGCCCGGUCGUUCAACUAUGAAAGCGAUCUUUCUCAUUAGAAGCU